rnacentral:rRNA from 1 species
AUUGAACGCUGGCGGCAGGCCUAACACAUGCAAGUCGAGCGGUAGCACAGAGAGCUUGCUCUCGGGUGACGAGCGGCGGACGGGUGAGUAAUGUCUGGGAAACUGCCUGAUGGAGGGGGAUAACUACUGGAAACGGUAGCUAAUACCGCAUAACGUCGCAAGACCAAAGAGGGGGACCUUCGGGCCUCUUGCCAUCAGAUGUGCCCAGAUGGGAUUAGCCAGUAGGUGGGGUAACGGCUCACCUAGGCGACGAUCCCUAGCUGGUCUGAGAGGAUGACCAGCCACACUGGAACUGAGACACGGUCCAGACUCCUACGGGAGGCAGCAGUGGGGAAUAUUGCACAAUGGGCGCAAGCCUGAUGCAGCCAUGCCGCGUGUAUGAAGAAGGCCUUCGGGUUGUAAAGUACUUUCAGCGGGGAGGAAGGCGUUGAGGUUAAUAACCUCAGCAAUUGACGUUACCCGCAGAAGAAGCACCGGCUAACUCCGUGCCAGCAGCCGCAGUAAUAC